AUGAACGCUGGCGGCGUGCCUAAUACAUGCAAGUCGAGCGAACAGACGAGGAGCUUGCUCCUUCGACGUUAGCGGCGGACGGGUGAGUAACACGUAGGUAACCUACCUAUAAGACUGGGAUAACUUCGGGAAACCGGAGCUAAUACCGGAUAAUAUUUCGAACCGCAUGGUUCGAUAGUGAAAGAUGGCUUUGCUAUCACUUAUAGAUGGACCUGCGCCGUAUUAGCUAGUUGGUAAGGUAACGGCUUACCAAGGCAACGAUACGUAGCCGACCUGAGAGGGUGAUCGGCCACACUGGAACUGAGACACGGUCCAGACUCCUACGGGAGGCAGCAGUAGGGAAUCUGCCGCAAUGGGCGAAAGCCGAACGGAGCAACGCGGCGGGAGUGAUGAAGGUCUUCGGAUCGUAAAACUCUGUUAUUAGGGAAGAACAAACGUGUAAGUAACUGUGCACGUCUGGACGGUACCUAAGCAGAAAGCCACGGCUAACUACGU
rnacentral:rRNA from 1 species